GACGAAACGGACGGUUUUUUUUUGAACAAAAAUCAUGGGUGAAAAUGAGGUGACGAUUGGAAAAAUACGAAUCUUUUAAUUAGUUAAGAUGAGGACAUUUGUAUUUAUAUCGUGGGGAGGUCUUAUCCCUAAUCUCUAUCUCUAUCUCUUCUACUAUUAUAAAAACUGAAGAUGUUUUUGCCGGUACUUUGGUACGUCAUCCGUGUAUGACUCGGUUUUUAAGUUCGUUCGUUUUUCGAAAUACAUAUAUGUAUUUGAGUCGAUUUUAAUAAGUUCGUUCGGUUUUGGAAAUACUGGAGCAGUCGUAUAAGAAAUCUCUUUAGAAAAACUUACAUGCUAACUUGAGAUGAUUGGACUCCUAAUUGCAGCUCAUGAUUUUCUAGAAAAAAAAUAUAUAUCCAAGCGAAUUCUCAAUUUCACAUCAACUAAACCAUAUAACAAUAAAAAAAUUAAAAAAGCCUUCACCCGUUGUAACGCACAGAUAAUUUUUCUAGUGCAAAUAAUGUUCAUAAUGAAUCCGUGAAGAUACAAACGCUCUUUAAAUACCGAACCUAUAUCUGGUUUAACUGUCAACACAUACACACACAGCUUUGAUCCCUGGCAGUAUGCACUUCCCCUGUACUAUUUUAAGGUCAAUUUUAACUCCUCUCCUUUGUUCAAAAAUAAGUUUAUUUUUAGCAAUCAUUGCAUUGGAGUUUGUAAAAGUAAGCAAUAAUUAUAUUGAGAGUAGAUAAAUUGAGAAAUAGUUGUAUUGGGAUUGGAUAAAGUAAAGGCAUUUUAGUC
rnacentral:sRNA from 1 species